UCUCAACAGGACGGAUCACUA
rnacentral:miRNA from 1 species